UCGAGAAUCUUCGGCAAUGGGCGAAAGCCUGACCGAGCGAUGCCGCGUGCGGGAUGAAGGCCUUCGGGUUGUAAACCGCUGUCGUAGGGGAGAAAGGGUCGUUGAAGAAACGACUUUGAUCUAUCCUAGGAGGAAGUCCGGGCUAAGUUCGUGCCAGCAGCCGCGGUAACACGAACCGGACAAACGUUAUUCGGAAUUACUGGGCUUAAAGGGUGCGUAGGCGGUGCGGUAAGUGCGGUGUGAAAUCCCACGGCUCAACCGUGGAAUUGCGCUGCAUACUGCCGUGCUAGAGGGAGACAGGGGUAAGCGGAACUGAUGGUGGAGCGGUGAAAUGCGUUGAUAUCAUCAGGAACACCGGUGGCGAAAGCGGCUUACUGGGUCUCUUCUGACGCUGAGGCACGAAAGCUAGGGUAGCGAACGGGAUUAGAUACCCUUGUAGUCCCUGAGCGGGCUGGCAAGGCGCAU
rnacentral:rRNA from 1 species